UCACAAAUUUUGCAACAGAAAUCCGCCCCGCUAAAAGCUGCCCGACACGUGUCCCAUUUUUGGAAUGAAAUCGUCCUCUCCCUUCAAAAUACGAGACUCGCGCUCUCCCUUAAGUACGAAAUUUCCCCCUUUUUCGAUUUCAUAGACGACCGACUCGCGAAACGAAUUAGCGCCAAAAUUGAAAUCUAUCAAGAGCACGAAUUACAAUCCAAAUUGAUCCACCUUUGUGACAAGUUUUCCGACCGGGUAGAAAUUUUGAAAAUUAUGAUCAGAUCCGAGAGCUCUCUACCAGCCGUUUAUCAAAUUUUAAAAAGUGGUUGUCCAAAUUUGAAACAAUUUCGAAUUUUUCACACAUUUGUAUAUUCCCAUUCCGAGGAAGUUUUGUGCGUAUCGCUGCAACCAAAACCGAAUUUGACGCAGUUGGUGGUCAGAAGUUUGGAUGCGGUGGCUCCAUUUCUCACCAAAUUGACGCACCUGGUUGUGCACGUGGCGCCAAAUUUGCGCGAGGUCACGCUUCCCUGGGGAUGCUGUCCAGAAUUGGGAAACUGCAAGGAUCUCGACUCCCUGACCAUAGCGACAUAAAUUACCCGGGUAGAAGACAUGGAGCAGUUGCUGAUAGGCUAGAAAUGCCAGGAAAUAGCAAAUUGUGUGAGCCCAUGUCUGUAGUACACAAUGCAGUUUAAAUUUUGAUAAAAAAUAGCUGGGUAGAGUUUCAGAGUAAAAGUUAUAACAGCCCCCAAACUGUCAAAAUGUCGCUAAUUUUUCCCAAGUACCUCCAUUACACGAAAUUAAACAUUUGUAGUCCAAAAUCUGUUUUCAUUUCCAUCAGUAAUGUCUCCUCUAACUUCCAAAAUAAUAAACAUAAAAACAUUUCAACUAUUGUGAUUUAUAAAAUUCCAUUUAACUA